GAUGAACGCUGGCGGCGUGCCUAAUACAUGCAAGUCGAGCGAACGGACGAGAAGCUUGCUCCUCUGAUGUUAGCGGCGGACGGGUGAGUAACACGUGGAUAACCUACCUAUAAGACUGGGAUAACUUCGGGAAACCGGAGCUAAUACCGGAUAAUAUUUUGAACCGCAUGGUUCAAAAGUGAAAGACGGUCUUGCUGUCACUUAUAGAUGGAUCCGCGCUGCAUUAGCUAGUUGGUAAGGUAACGGCUUACCAAGGCAACGAUGCAUAGCCGACCUGAGAGGAGGAUCGGCCACACGGGAGCUGAGACGCGGACCAAACUCCGACGGGAGGCAGCAGUAGGAAAUCUUCCGCAAUGAGCGAAAGCCUAACGGAGCAACGCGGCGUGAGUGAUGAAGGUCUACGGAGCGUAAAACUGUGUGAUUGGGGAAGAACAUAUGUGUAAGUAACUGUGCACAUCUGAACGGUACCGAAGCAGAAAGCCACGGCAAACUACGG
rnacentral:rRNA from 1 species